AACCCGAGAGAAUUGUAGCUGAAUUACUAAGAAAGAAAGAGCUUCGUCUUUCUUCUACGAAAUGUGCGAGUCCCUGGCAGGGAGCCCGCUUCAAACUUUAUGAGAAAAGUGAUGCGAAAUAGCUUCUGUCCAGAGGAAACCAAACCACUUCAAACUUUUAGAAACCCUAAUCGAUUUCCAUAUCGUUAAAGAAUAAUAAAAAAAACAGCGAGUUUUUGGAUUCUUUUCUUCACCAGAGUAAUGACGGUUGAGUGGGAAGUGCAAAGAAGAAAGAAAUCUUUGAGCCAAAAGAGAAGAAAGAAAGAAAAAAAAUAAAAAAUGGAUCCCAAAGCGUCGGCCAAAUCGAAGCGAAGUCAUUCCCAGCAAGGCCGGAAGAACCACCAGCUGCUGGCCGCCAGGAGCGCCCAGAAUAAGAAGCUUUCCGCGGCCGCGGCCGACGCCGGAGCCGGAGGAGAGGCGAAUCCCCGGCAAGCCCAAGCCCGCGCCCGCGCCCAGCGGAGGGAGGGGAUUAGGCCCAAGAGAAAAGGCGUGGGCUUCUCUUACUUAAUCAAGCAAGCUCGAUCCCGGCCAUCGGAGCAUCGCGAUCUUGAAACGUCCCAGUCCGCCUUUUCCUCCGAUGAGCUUUCCUUCGGUACCUUUUCUCUCCAGGGAUUUGCAUGCACUUGCUGCACAAUUAUCAAAACUAAAGCUUUCAGAGAGGCUAUUUAUUGAACAAGAUUUAUUACCUGAAGAGCUGAUAAGCAUAACUAUCAAUGGCGCAUUGACAAAUCAAAAGUGUACCAGAUAUCUGAGCAAUCAGAAGCAUCAAUAGUGAGCGAACAUAAAUAGAGCUGGACUCCAGCAAGAUUUCUCCAUGAUGCAGGGUUGGAAAAAAUUGCAAAUAGCCAAACUAAUCGUUGCAAUUGUUGUAAUGUUCAUGGAAUCAUGCAAGAUGUAGUGGUGGAGGAAUGUCAAUCCCAAAUUUCUACAGAACAGGCUAUCAAGCUUGAUCCAACUAGUGAUUCAAUACCUCCAGAGCUGUCUGGAAGCAGAGAAGUUCGGAGAUCCAUGUCACAACUUGGCAUUCAUACGGAUCCAGACUUGAAACAGAAUAAAACCUCCAGGUUUGAAGCUGCAGCAGCGGAAAAAGAGCUUGAGAUGCUUCUCAGCCCAUUUGGUGAAACUAGUCUUUCUGGCUCCCAUACAUUUGGAAUCAUUAACUAUGCUUCAACUUCUCGUAGUGCAACAUUGAAUUCAUCAACCCAUAUUAGUCCACUGUCUGUUGAUCAAGAUCCCAGUUCCUCAGACGAUGCUGGUAUGGCUAUUGCUGAUGCAAUUGAUGGUUUGCUUGCAGAAGCUGCCCUGCCCCUGAAUGACCGGAAAUAUGCAACUUCAAAUGAAGCCCCAGGCGACUCUAAUUCCUCAAAGUAGGUAGAGCUGCAAGUCUUGAUGAUGCAAUCGAUGAUUUACUUGCGGAAACCUUCCUUUGCCUUGAAGAAGAGAAGAACAUGACAUGCCCAGAAAAGCAGGGAACAACAUCAUCGAUGAAUUUUCCUUCCCAUUCUCCCUUAGGCUCGAAACCUGUGGAUGACUUCGAUUCAUGGUUUGACACGCUUUAAGUGUCAUUUGGAAUCUGAAGAACAGGUUGUUAUCAAAUCCUCCAGCAUGCUAUGUUAUGGUUGUCGGACUCUGCUUCAAAGUGAUCUGGACAGAACUGAGCCAUCGCAAAUAUGAUGCUCACAAAUCACAAUCCUUCCAGCGGAGGGAUGCCUAGACAGCUGAACUGGUGAACCCUAAGGAAAAUGGAAUGCAGUAAUUAUCAUAUCCUUUUUUCUUUCUUUUUUUUUUUUUGCAUAAUGCUUCUCUGGUAAUUUGGCGGUUCUUGAGUUCUCUCAAAUAUUGUAGCAUGAGGUGUUCUCUGUUGCUAGUGCAUCGCUCAUGAUGGAUUUCUGGCUCAUCUGGUGUGAUACCUGGUGACUCCUUUGGUCUCUCCAAUAAUUGGGAAAUUUUUGCAAUAUGUUCAUGAGAAAAACAAGCUUCAGAUAUAUCAGGCUAAGGGGAUCCUGAGUCUCUUUACCUCUCAGGUGCCCAGCUUCUAUUCCAUGGCAACAUCUGAGUCAGUGCCCUUUCCAUGAUGAAAAUGUUGUUGUCCUAAUCUAGUUUCUCAUCAUCAUGGCAUCAUCUCGCAUGCAUUUCUGAAGCCCUUGAUAUCUAAAAUUAUUCUAAAUAAUUUUUAGGAAAUUUUACAAAAAUUGAGGGAUGACAUCCUGAUGGAUCUCUAAUUCUGCAGAUUCUGUUAAUGAUUAAUCCCGGUGUUAAUUAUGCCAUCAUAAUAGAGAUUACUUCACAGGUUGUCUUGUUUAAUUGCUCGCGUUGUAGAUGCUAGUGUAAUUUUAAUUUUCAAUGCCCAUUUAUCAUAAUAACUGAAUUUCCACAAGCUAUCAGCAGCAAACCAGAUUUUAUGCUGAAGUUAAUGACUCCUGCAUCCAACUUCUGUUCUGUACUUGGCUACUUGCUGGUUUUCCCUUAGCUAGAUUUUCUAGAUCGAAUUUUCAAGAGUCUUCGUUUAUGAGCUGUUGAUUGGACUUCCACGCAGGAUUAAGAAAACUCUCCUCUCUUCCCAUUUUUUACUUCCAAUUUUUCUGGUUGGACGGUCCAUUUACCUCCCCGUUUCUCCUACUUUCCGUCUCGUGAUUUCAUGCUGUUGGAUUCCAACUUUCACGGGGGUUACCCAUAGAUCGACGAUUUGAUUUGGUCGUCUCAGCAGUCCAAGUCAAUCACGUUAUUUUCUAUAUAGCUAAGCCUAACCUCUAAUUAAAUACAACUUAGUUCAAUACAACUUAGUAACCAAUAACCAGACUCUUGGCAGCUAAAAGCAUUGGUUGACUGGCUUCUUUCUUGUUAGCCUCGUGAUAACGUGUGCAUGUUGUCGCGUUAUGAUCAAGCUUUUCUUCGGCCACGCUAGUUCCCCGCAAAGAUCCUCUGGGGAAAAUUUGACCAAGGUGUGAACUGCUCCCCUUUUGUCAUGCCUCGUGCUUUCGUCUCUCGCUUGACGCGUUUAUUCUUCUAAAACUAAUGCCUCCAUAUGUAGCGUGAUAGGUGUGGUUGACCGGAGAGCCCCUUGCCGUAUGAUACUUGGUUUGUCCUUGCAAGCAAAUUGCUGUAACUUUCGGUGCCGAACCUUCUCCUAGAGCCAAACGAGCUUUUGAAAUUUUGGUGCUUCGUUUUCGUGGGGAUGGAUUGACAAAUAUCUGCAUUUGCUGAACAAGCUAUUUCUUUUUACUCAAAAACAACAAUGCAUUUGUUCUUAGAAUUAGAUAGCAAACAAGUAAUUACAUCAAGUAAUUAUAGAAACCAUCCCUUCACCUCCUUUAGGAAGGAGCGUACCAAGUGCCAACCACUGAAGUUAAGCCCUGACAAUACUAAUCUCAUGUGUGAGGUUUCUUGAUUUGUUCUUGCUUUGGCUUCCCUUUUCCCUCCGGUUUGUUUGCCAGCUCCAGGUGACGAGCAGAAGGCCGACUCUGCUUGCAGCCGGUUCGAGUCCGAGCACUGCCAACUCUUGUGUGGUUGGACGCAAUUUGAUCCGUCUUGGUUGGACGUGACAGCAAAGUAUUCAUGCUUGUUUAAAAAUUUUGAUUCAUACAGCACGUAAUUGGCUUUCAUACGGAAGGCACCUGGCUACGUUUGGACCACCAGAAAUCCGGCAUUAUGGAUCGACUUGAUAAGCAUUGC